rnacentral:lncRNA from 1 species
AACAGGGGCAUCAAAUUGACAAAUUCAAUCACUCCAGCAGAAGCAAAAACAACUAAUUGCAGAAGCAGAAACAGAAGCAGAAAGAACGAACAGUAAAACAAAAUUCAUAGUAAAAUAAAAUAGCAAGUUAAGAGCUUUCUCAUCACAUUUUUUUCCAUGUCUGAGCUAAUUAGCUAGUAGCAUUAAGAAGAUGAGAAUCAAGUUGAUGGGGUCUACGCAAGAACCUGCAGAUAGGCAGAUGGACAUCAAAGCACCAAGGGAAUCAGAGUUGCCAAGUGAUCUCUUCAUGACUGAUGAUGAUUGUGGUGGCGGUAAUGAAACAAAAAGAAAACAACUUUCUCUAAAGGAAACAGAUCUAUUUUUGUUUGAUCAAGGGAGUCAGUCCUCUUCUUGUUCUUCUCAAGUCUUCGUAGUUUCAAGAUCUCUCUCUCUCUCUCUCGGGUCUGGGGGGCUAGGCUCAAGAGGAGAGGGUUAGUGCGCACUUAAACACGACUACUUCCUCUUCUCCCUCUGUACCCAUCCAAAG